rnacentral:rRNA from 1 species
CUACGGGCUGCUGCAGUGGGGAAUAUUGGACAAUGGGGGAAACCCUGAUCCAGCAAUGCCGCGUGUGUGAAGAAGGCCUGCGGGUUGUAAAGCACUUUCGGUUGGGAGGACUGCUUCUAGCACUAAUAUUGUUGGAAGUUGACGUUACCUUCAGAAGAAGCACCGGCUAACUCCGUGCCAGCAGCCGCGGUGAAUACGGAGGGGUGCAAGCGUUAAUCGGAAUUACUGGGCGUAAAGCGCGCGUAGGCGGCUAGAUCAGUCGGGUGUGAAAGCCCCGGGCUUAACCUGGGAACUGCAUCCGAUACUGUCUAGCUUGAGUACAGGAGAGGAGAGUGGAAUUCCACAUGUAGCGGUGAAAUGCGUAGAUAUGUGGAGGAACACCAAUGGCGAAGGCAGCUCUCUGGCCUGAUACUGACGCUGAGGUGCGAAAGCGUGGGGAGCAAACAGGAUUAGAUACCCGUGUAGUC